AUUGAACGCUGGCGGCAGGCCUAACACAUGCAAGUCGAACGAGUGGCGGACGGGUGAGUAAUGUCUGGGCAACUGCCUGAUGGAGGGGGAUAACUACUGGAAAAGGUAGCUAAUACCGCAUACCCUCGGAUGUGCCCAGAUGUGAUUAGCUAGUAGGUGGGGUAAAGGCUCACCUGGGCGACGAUCCCUCGCGGGUCUGAGAGGAUGACCAGCCACACUGGAACUGGGACACGAUCCAGACUCCAACGGGAGGCAGCAGUGGGAAAUAUUGCACAAUGAGCGCAAGCCUGAGGCAGCCAUGCCGGGUGUAUGAGGAAGGCCUUCGGGUUGUAAAGUACUUUCAGCGGGGAGGCGUUACCCGCAGAGGAAGCACCGGCUAACUCCGUGCCAGCCGCCGCGGUAAUUC
rnacentral:rRNA from 1 species